CAGGCUUAGCACAUGCAAGUCGAGGGGCAGCAUGGUCUUAUCUUGCUAAGACUGAUGGCGACCGGCGCACGGGUGAGCAACACGUAUCCAACCUGCCGUCUACUCUUGGACAGCCUUCUGAAAGGAAGAUUAAUACAAGAUGGCAUCAUGAGUCCGCAUGUUCACAUGAUUAAAGGUAUUCCGGUAGACGAUGGGGAUGCGUUCCAUUAGAUAGUAGGCGGGGUAACGGCCCACCUAGUCUUCGAUGGAUAGGGGUUCUGAGAGGAAGGUCCCCCACAUUGGAACUGAGACACGGUCCAAACUCCUACGGGAGGCAGCAGUGAGGAAUAUUGGUCAAUGGGCGAGAGCCUGAACCAGCCAAGUAGCGUGAAGGAUGACUGCCCUAUGGGUUGUAAACUUCUUUUAUAAAGGAAUAAAGUCGGGUAUGCAUACCCGUUUGCAUGUACUUUAUGAAUAAGGAUCGGCUAACUCCGUGCCAGCAGCCGCGGUAAUACGGAGGAUCCGAGCGUUAUCCGGAUUUAUUGGGUUUAAAGGGAGCGUAGAUGGAUGUUUAAGUCAGUUGUGAAAGUUUGCGGCUCAACCGUAAAAUUGCAGUUGAUACUGGAUAUCUUGAGUGCAGUUGAGGCAGGCGGAAUUCGUGGUGUAGCGGUGAAAUGCUUAGAUAUCACGAAGAACUCCGAUUGCGAAGGCAGCCUGCUAAGCUGCAACUGACAUUGAGGCUCGAAAGUGUGGGUAUCAAACAGGAUUAGAUACCCUGGUAGUCCACACGGUAAACGAUGAAUACUCGCUGUUUGCGAUAUACUGCAAGCGGCCAAGCGAAAGCGUUAAGUAUUCCACCUGGGGAGUACGCCGGCAACGGUGAAACUCAAAGGAAUUGACGGGGGCCCGCACAAGCGGAGGAACAUGUGGUUUAAUUCGAUGAUACGCGAGGAACCUUACCCGGGCUUAAAUUGCAGAUGAAUUACGGUGAAAGCCGUAAGCCGCAAGGCAUCUGUGAAGGUGCUGCAUGUUUGUCGUCAGCUCGUGCCGUGAGGUGUCGGCUUAAGUGCCAUAACGAGCGCAACCCUUGUUGUCAGUUACUAACAGGUUCCGCUGAGGACUCUGACAAGACUGCCAUCGUAAGAUGUGAGGAAGGUGGGGAUGACGUCAAAUCAGCACGGCCCUUACGUCCGGGGCUACACACGUGUUACAAUGGGGGGUACAGAGGGCCGCUACCACGCGAGUGGAUGCCAAUCCCCAAAACCUCUCUCAGUUCGGACUGGAGUCUGCAACCCGACUCCACGAAGCUGGAUUCGCUAGUAAUCGCGCAUCAGCCACGGCGCGGUGAAUACGUUCCCGGGCCUUGUACACACCGCCCGUCAAGCCAUGGGAGCCGGGGGUACCUGAAGUGCGUAACCGCGAGGAGCGCCCUAGGGUAAAACUGGUGACUGGGGC
rnacentral:rRNA from 1 species